rnacentral:rRNA from 1 species
CACGUAGGCGGCCUGGUAAGUCAGAUGUGAAAGCCCGGGGCUUAACCCCGGAAGUGCAUUUGAUACUGUCAGGCUUGAGUAUGGGAGAGGGAAGUGGAAUUCCUGGUGUAGAGGUGAAAUUCAUAGAUAUCAGGAGGAACACCGGUGGCGAAGGCGACUUCCUGGACCAAUACUGACGCUGAGGUGCGAAGGCGUGGGUAGCAAACA